CUUUCAGUACUUACACUUUACCAUCCAUCUCCUUUCACUGAUCACCUAUUUUGAGAUCCAUAAAUGUUGCUGAAUGCUGUAUCUGUAGUUCUGACACUUGGGCUUCUAAUUUUGACAAACAUUUCAGUUGUUUCCUGUUUGAAGCUGUUAUGAUUUUUCUCUUCACACUGUGUUUAAGGAAACAUUGCAUUCCUCCUCCAAUGCAUGCUCUUACUGACAGCCCAACGUCAUCGAUCAGCAAGAAGCUCUUAAUUCCCAGGACCCAUCUGAGCCUUCCUGAGGUGGGAGUCCUUGAACGAACUGAAGCUUUCUCACUAUUUCCUGUCUCUUCCUACUAUCACUAUGCUUUCUUAAAACCAAUCUGACAUUUUUGUUUGUUUGUUUCCUCCAAAUGUGUUUCCAUGUUAGGUAGAAGCUUACCUAAGUUUGUAUCCUAUUCCAGGUUUUAUUAGUGGCUGAUAACAGGUUAAUAUUCUUCCUCUUACUGAGCAAUAGCUAGGGGAAUGUUACCAGAGCUCUCCUGGGUGCAGAGUGAUAAUAGUAGAUGUCAUCAUUAUCAUGGUGGUGGUUUAUGCUUGUUUAGUCACUAAGUCAUGUCAGACCAUUGUGACCCCAUGGACUGUAGCCUGCCAGGCUCCUCUGUCCAUGGGAUUCUCCAGGCAAGAAUACUGGAUUGGGUUGCCAUUUCCUUCUCCAGGAGAUCUUCCUGACCUAGGAAUCAAAUCCAGGUCUCCUGCCUUUCAGGCAGAUUCUUUACCCACUGAGCUAUGAGGGAAGAUCCUCCUUCCUCCUGCUGGAAGUGAAC
rnacentral:lncRNA from 1 species